rnacentral:rRNA from 1 species
GAUGGUGACCCAAACCCUCACCAGAGUAGCAAUUGGAGGGCAAGUCUGGUGCCAGCAGCCGCGGUAAUUCCAGCUCCAAUAGCGUAUAUUAAACUUGUUGCAGUUAAAAAGCUCGUAGUUGAACUUUAGCGUGUUCGAGUUUGCCAUUCGUUUGGCCUUUUCGAGUUCGCUUUUGGGUUUUCCCUUUUUACUUUGAGAAAAUUAGAGUGUUUCAAGCAGACUUUUGUCUUGAAUACUUCAGCAUGGAAUAAUAGAGUAGGACUUUGGUUCUAUUUUGUUGGUUAUUGAACCUUAGUAAUGGUUAAUAGGAACGGUUGGGGGCAUUCGUAUUUAACUGUCAGAGGUGAAAUUCUUA